ACUUUGUAGGGUAAAUACGGCAACUCUCAUUUAAUCGGUUAGUCGAACCACCGAAAUGCAUCCCUUCUCGCCAUUCUACGUGUAUUUACUGUGUAUGACAACAAAGGUUUUAGAAAAUCCUUCAUUUCAGCCACAAAUCAUUGCAGUAUCUGAGAAUCAUUCAGAGUUAAGACUCGGAGAAAUCACGAAAUUGUAUGAAGAGCAAAGACCACAAGGACAGGGGAUUUCACCCACGGUCACAGAGUUUUGCAUGAGUAGAGACAAGCGUUCAUCCAACACUGAAAGGUCUUUAGUGGGAAAUAGUCAAACUAAGCAAUCAGUGUCUUAUGGGGAAGUGAGGGGCUGCCACGGGCAGGGAAAGUCAUAAAUCGGGGUCUGAUGGUGAGAAGUGAGGGUAUUCGUUCGGCUUCUGUGGACUGCACACACCUGUGCUAUCGCAAUUAACUAUUUCCACAGUUAUUUUUCCAUGUCUCUAAUUACUCCUUCAAUACUUGUUUUCUGUCCUUAGGAAUCACAGUGAAGCUUCAAGUCACUGUGCUUUGGAAAACUUAAAGCCUGAGAUGUACUGAGGAGUUCCCACUCUCUGCCACGGUCCCCAUCCUACUCCAUCCUGCCACCACCACUCAGCUUCUGGGGAAAUGGUCUUUGGUCAUAUACGAGGAAAAAGGGGUUUGGAGCAAGACAGUGGCCCAAGCUCCUGGGCCAGAGAGACAAGAGAGGAUGAGUGAGGCCAGGGAGGCCUUUGGUUGGGAUGACAGAAAAACUGCAAAGUGACUGGAAUGGAGAGAAAAGGCCUGGACAUUGGUUCUUGUCAUCUGAUUUCAGACACUAGCACAAAGUCUGCGGGUUGCUAAGUGGAUCGCCCUGGUGGCUUUCUCUGUAUUGCAACGGCUUAAUAUGAGGCUCCGUCGCCAGUGAGCAAGAUCCAGAUGUGUGAGAAUCUGGGGGGUCCUGUGAGAUUCACCUGCAUAGACCCACAGCCACAUUGCAGCAGCCGGAUGGGUAAAGCUGACGCUUUGGAACAGAGAUUUCAUGGCCCUGAGUCAGUGAAAUUGUGUGCUGUUUCAGUGUGAACAUCACUUCCUCCGGAAGGUCAGUCUGGGCCUCCAGUCAGGUGUCUCCCUAGGAUCCAGGUACUUAUUUUGCAACA